GGCGUAAAGGGCGCGUAGGCGGAUUAUCAAGUCUCUUGUGAAAUCUAAUGGCUUAACCAUUAAACUGCUUGGGAAACUGAUAGUCUAGAGUGAGGGAGAGGCAGAUGGAAUUGGUGGUGUAGGGGUAAAAUCCGUAGAUAUCACCAAGAAUACCCAUUGCGAAGGCGAUCUGCUGGAACUCAACUGACGCUAAGGCGCGAAAGCGUGGGGAGCAAACAGGAUUAGAUACCCUGGUAGUCCACGCCCUAAACGAUGUACACUAGUUGUUGGGAUGCUAGUCAUCUCAGUAAUGCAGCUAACGCAUUAAGUGUACCGCCUGGGGAGUACGGUCGCAAGAUUAAAACUCAAAGGAAUAGACGGGGACCCGCACAAGCGGUGGAGCAUGUGGUUUAAUUCGAAGAUACGCGAAGAACCUUACCUGGGCUUGAUAUCCUAAGAACCUUAUAGAGAUAUGAGGGUGCUAGCUUGCUAGAACUUAGAGACAGGUGCUGCACGGCUGUCGUCAGCUCGUGUCGUGAGAUGUUGGGUUAAGUCCCGCAACGAGCGCAACCCACGUAUUUAGUUGCUAACGGUUCGGCCGAGCACUCUAAAUAGACUGCCUUCGUAAGGAGGAGGAAGGUGUGGACGACGUCAAGUCAUCAUGGCCCUUAUGCCCAGGGCGACACACGUGCUACAAUGGCAUAUACAAUGAGACGCAAUACCGCGAGGUGGAGCAAAUCUAUAAAAUAUGUCCCAGUUCGGAUUGUUCUCUGCAACUCGAGAGCAUGAAGCCGGAAUCGCUAGUAAUCGUAGAUCAGCCAUGCUACGGUGAAUACGUUCCCGGGUCUUGUACUCACCGCCCGUCACACCAUGGGAGUUGAUUUCACUCGAAGCCGGAAUACUAAACUAGUUACCGUCCACAGUGGAAUCAGCGACUGGGGUGAAGUCGUAACAAGGUAACCGUAGGAGAACCUGCGGUUGGAUCACCUCCUUUCUA
rnacentral:rRNA from 1 species